rnacentral:rRNA from 1 species
CAAUAGCGUAUAUUUAAGUUGUUGCAGUUAAAAAGCUCGUAGUUGGAUUUCGGGUGGGACGCAGCGGUCUCGCAUUGCGUUUGUACUGCUGCAGCCCUCCUUCUUGCCGGGGGCGGCCUCUCGGACUUCACUGUCUGGGGGUCAGAAUCGGCGAUGUUACUUUGAGUAAAUUAGAGUGUUCAAAGCAAGCUUACGCUCUGAAUAUAAUAGCAUGGGAUAACACGACAGGACUCUGGCCUAUCGUGUUGGUCUAUAGGACCAGAGUAAUGAUUAAGAGGGACAGUCGGGGGCAUUCGUAUUCCGUUGUCAGAGGUGAAAUUCUUGGAUUUACAGAAGACGAACAUCUGCGAAAGCAUUUGCCAAGGAUGUUUNCAUUGA